UUGUGGUUCUCACUAAAAAAAUCCUAUCCCUGCUGUGAAUUCCUUGAUUUCAGCAGAGCAGCUCCACAUCCUGCCUGAGCUGGGACCACCUUUCUCCCAUUCCUGAGCCUUGUAGCAAAUUCUUCCUUGAGCUGGACAAGAAUUCUUUCUGAAUUCCAGAAUUUCUGCCUGUUGAAGAGCAAGUGAAUUUUCCAACAGGUGGGCUCAGAUGGGAAGCAGAUCCCUGCCAAUGGAGUCAGGUGGAUGAAACAUUCCUUGCCUGGGAUAAAAGCAGCUUGGGAGGUUUGAACAUCCUUGGGAGCGUUCUGUUUCCCAGCUCAGCGCUGCAAUCUGUUCAAAACAAGCUAAUUUUAGGGCUUGGCUGGUGGAAAGGAGCCAUUUCCUUCAUCUUAAUCCCACAUUUCCCACGUGUGGUGUGCGGAAGUUUGGGAUUGACCUGUCAGAGAUGUCACGGGAUGGAAAAUAAAUGGGUUGAGAUGAUUUUGGGGGUGGUUGGGUUUGAUGGGGACCAUUAAAAUCACGGAGCAGAAGGAUUGGGAUGGGAUUGUGGAUUCCAAAAGUGCACUGGAUGUGGGAAUAACCGGGUGACUUGACGGGAAUGGGUUUAUCAUCCCUGAAAGGAUCAUUUUCCUCAGCUGGAUUCAGCUGGAGCAGAUUGAGCUCCCUGAGCUGGGUGUUCGCCUGUCCCAGGGCGCGUUGGGAACCUCCACAACUUCACUGUGUGCUCUGGACAGGGAUUCCUGCUGGAAACAUGGGAGAUGGAGCGUUUAUUCCAGGUGGGAAUGUCAGGGAAAAUGAGCCUUGGAACUGAUCCUGGAGCAGGGCUGGGAUCCCAGGUCCAGCCUGUCACUGAAACAGGAACGAUUUAAAGAGGAAAGAAAAGCCCCCCAAAACACACAAAGGUUGUUUCUGCCUCCUCUGCAUCUCCACCGUGGCCAAAACCGAUUCCCAUCCCAGUUUCCAUGGAAGGGGCGUCCAGUCAAAGCACAUUUGGCAGCUGCUCCCGCUCCAUUAAAUAACAUCAGGCUGGAAAUACAAAUACAAAAGAAGGGAAAACAGCUCCAUUUGCAUCCAAUUGCAAAUUCCACUGAUACAGAAUGGAAACCUUUUGUGCUGAGAGUCAGAAAUCUCCUCUGACAAGUUGAUGGAAGGAGCUAUGAAUAGUAAACCAAGAAUUUCAGAAUUUGUUGCGAUUUGGAGCUGUGUUUUUCCUGAGCAGAUGCCUUUGCUGCCUAUUUCUGUGUUGCCUUUUUUUUUUUCCCCUCUAACUGCUCUACCAGUGAUUUUUGCAGAUGGAUCUGGGAAUUGCAGCAUGACCUGAGCUGGAUGGUUUGGAAGCUCUUGGGUACUUCCAAUUUUUUCCAUAAUCACUGGGAUAUGAAGAUGUUUAGCACUUGUGAAAACCUGGUUUAAGAGCUUUUCCCCGGCGUGGUGACUCCUGAGGUUCCCUGAAAAUUUCCAGGAGCAGGAAAUUCUGGCUUGGAUUGGAACACUGGGCCCAAAGAGAUGGCGACACGACUGAGAGCAGACCCAAAUCUCCCGGAUCUUUCCAGAGGGCUGGAGAUCAUCCUGUGCCACAGAGGGGCUGCAGGUGCUCGGUAUCUCUGCAAACCAGGCUGCUGCGCUGGGAUUUCCAUCAAGUGCCAAAUCUGCAAGGGAUUUUUAUUUUGGUUUUUUUGUGUGUGUGUGUGAACAACCUGUCCUUUGCUCGUGGCUCCUUGGCUCUGUCCCCUGGAUCCUGGAGCGCUCCCGAUAACUCGUGUUUUUCCCUUGCUCCAGUGGAGCAAACAGCUCAGUGGAGGCUCCAGGAGUGUCUUCUCCAAGUGCUGUAGCUCAGAGCGAUGUCACUUGAAUGGCUCUUAAAAUUAGGUCUGUCUGGGAGAGAAUCAUUUAAAUUCCACCGUUAAAACUCCUGGUGAUUGAGAACAAACGAAACUGCUGUGGAGGCUUCAGGAACUCACUAAUGGCUGGAAAGAAGAGGGUCAGGGUCUGGUUGGGAAUCGUUUAAAACCCUUCCCUCCCCAUUACUCACUCUUUAAGUGACACCUUGAUAGUUGCACGAGAGUAGUUAAACAUGAAUUGUUAAUACCACCAGCUUUUGUAGGGAAGGCUCUUUUUGCUCCCAAAUGAAGCUGAUUUAUUUUUGUGCUGGUUCCCACCAGUUGUCGAAGCCAUUAAAUAUCCUUAAUUGCCUGGAAAUGGAUUCACAUAAUAGAGUCCUGGUAAUUCAGAGAUCUGGGAGCUGGGGCGUUGGUGUUUCAGUCAGGGCUCCCUCGGGAAUGACGAGCCUGAAAUCACCCAGUGCCUCUCGUUCCCUGGCUUUUGAUGGAUCAGCAGCAGAGGUUCUGCAGUCUGGCUGCCAUCACCCUCAGAGGAGCAGCUGGAGAGCUCACCAGCUGUGUUUCUGUGUGUGCUGAAAUAAAAAAAAACACCUUGGGACUUCCAGGAUUCCGGGCAGAGCAGUUCCACAGCUGCUGGAAACCUGGAAUUGUGGUGCUAUCACAAUUUGGGCUGAGACACCUCAGCAGGGGUGCCCGUGAGGGGGGCAGUGCACUGAAAAUGUCAGCAGUGGGGAUAAAUUGUGAUGUUCCAGGUGUGCUUUACAUCUUUUUUAAGAGUUUUUAGUUUUCUGAGUCCAUUGAAAAGCGAUUCUGAGAUUGCUCUACAAAGCUGAUUUCCAAGUCUGCUUGCUCUGUGUCUUCUUACUGCCCCAUUUACCCAGCUGUGGUGUAAUAUUGCUAUUGUAAUAUUUGCUGCCUUCUUAAGCUUGAUUUUUGUGUCCAAACUCCAGGAUCUAGCCCUGCUGCCUCCAGCUCUGCGAUUGGGAACUUGCAAAGGGAAACCACUUUGUGUUAAUAAGCAGGAAACAAACCCAAAUCUCUCAAAAGUUACCGUUUUCCUCGGAGAACAAACUCACAACGUGAUGAGGUUUCUCUUCAAAGUGUACAUUGUUCACUGAUGGUCCCUGGAGUGUUUUGGGAGCUGCUUUGGAGCUGUAAAACCUCUGGAUUCUCCCUAAGAGCAAAUGCUGGAGGGCCCCUGAGCUGGCUGGGGGUGUUGGGGUGUGGGGCAGCCUCUCUGCAGAAAAUCCCUUUUUUAAAUUAACACUUCACCCACAAAUCUUCCAACAGUGAGCUGCUCAUAAAAAUCAAAACAGAAUUAAAAUAACAACUCUUCAUCAGCAUCCUCCUCUCCCUUGCCAUGACUUCAGCCCCUUUCCCACCUGGAGCAGCCCCAACCCCAAGGCCAGAGAGGAAGGAGCAGCAUCUCUGCCGAGUUUCCAGCAGGAUCAAAAGCAAGGAUGCUGCUGGGAUGAAGUGGAAAAUCCUGUGCUGCUCCAGCCCCCUGCCCAGCUGGCAGCAGCUCCAGCCCUGCACAGGUAAAACCCUGCUGGCAGCGUUGGCAUUCCAGGGCCUUUCUCCAGACUGGGCCCAACACUCUGACAUUCCUUGGUUUGUGCUGAGUUCCAGGUUUGAUUCCAGGUUUGAUUCCGAAAAUUCCAUGUUUUAAAACAGCAGCGGCCCAGCGUGGAUUCGUGUUGGGCCAACACUUCACCCGAAAUAUCCCUCGGAAUGCUCAGUUCAGAACAAUUAGACAGCAGGAACAGACCUGAUAAUUUAUUUUUUCAGCCCUUGCAGUGGAGAGAAGCUGUUUGGGGUUAUUUUAAGCUUUUGUCUGUGCACGGGGCGGCCCUGCUGAGCGUCUCUGAUGCUGGAAACCCACAGAGCAGAUUCUGGGGCUCAGGACACUUGGUCACCUUGGAAAGAAAUGCCUUUCCCUUUGGGAGCUUGCAGUGUGCAUCUAUAGAAUGACAUUCUAAUCUGAAAAUAAUUGGAAGGAGAUACUCUUGACAUUGGAAGUCGGGGAGAAUAAAAAGGAGUUUGGGUUAAUGUGACAGAGCACUUUUAUUGCCUGCGAGCGGGUGGAAACAAUAAAGAACUUCAGGGACUUU